GAAUGAUCGGCUAAAGACAACCCGGAAACUAAUCCCAUCGCCAUAAAACCCGAGACUGCAGGCCAUGUGACAGAGCUGUUCUCCUGGGUUCCCUCCCCCUUCGGGUUCCGUUCUCCACCGGGUGCCCUCUCCCAAAAAACUUCCCAUUUUGUCAGCACAUGUGUCUCCUCGGUCGAUUCAGUUCCGAGUGUUAGACAAGACCCCAGUUUCGAGACCUGGAAGGAGUCGACUUUCCUGCAACUGGAGGAGGAAGCAGACAGAGGUGGGCUCCGUCUCGGGCCAGGCUGCGAACACUAGACUACACGCCUGGUCAUCCUCCCAAUGGACUCUGAACUUUGUGCCCGGUGUCUUAAGAAGUGGCAUACCAAUGGGAAACCAGACCCCCGGAUAAAAGAGCCUCAGGACUGGAAGCUGUGGCUACAACACAACACAUGGCGUGUCUGGUGGGAUCCUUCUUGGCUGCAACUGACAGCCUGACCACUCAGGGUACUCAGCGGCCAGCUUGCCUGCCAAUGGACCAGACCCAGCAGCCUCAGCCGGGACCCGUUUGUCCCUGGUCUCCUCCUGACGCAGAGCACUGGCCAGAGUGCCCCGACCGGUGCGGGGGUCGCAGCAGGAUAACGCCCUCAAGACAGUGUCUUGGACAUGGAAGCAACCUAGAUGCCCAUCAGCAGAUGAAUGGAUAAGGAAGCUGUGGUACAUAUACACCAUGGAAUAUUACUCAGCCCUUAAAAAGAA